rnacentral:rRNA from 1 species
UCAAGAAACUUCCACAAUGGGCGAAAGCCUGAUGGAGCGACGUCGCGUGAUGGACGAAGUGCUUCGGCACGUAAACAUCUUUUAUGUGGGAUGAAAUUAUUGACAGUACCACAUGAAUAAGGGGCUCCUAACUCUGUGCCAGCAGGAGCGGUAAUAUAGAGGCCCCAAGCGUUAUCCGGAAUCACUGGGCGUAAAGGGUGUCGAGGCGGUUGUAUUAGUCGUUCGUAAAAUCUACGAGCUUAACUUGUAGGCGGCGAACGAAACGGUACGACUUGAGGUUUGGAGAGGUGCGUGGAACUCACGGUGUAGGGGUGAAAUCCGUUGAUAUCGUGGGGAACACCAAAGGCGAAGGCAGCGCACUGGCCAAAAUCUGACGCUCACACACGAAAGCUAGGGUAGCGAAGAGGAUUAGAUACCCCGGUAGUCCCUGAGCGGGCUGGCAAGGCGCAU